GACGAACGUUGGCGGCGUGCCUAAUACAUGCAAGUCAACUGAAAUACCGGUAGCAAUACUGGUAUGGAGGUGGCUCACGGGUGAGUAACACGUAGGUAAUCUGCCUUCAGGUCUGACAUAACCCAUCGAAAGGUGAGCUAAUAUCAGAUGAUGCAGCGGCUUGACAUCAAGACAGUUGUUAAAGCUUCGGCGCCUGAAGAUGAGCCUGCGUCUGAUUAGCUAGUUGGCGGGGUAACGCCCACCAAGGCUGCGAUCAGUAGCUGGUCUGAGAGGAUGAUCAGUCACACUGGAACUGAGACACGGUCAGACUCCUACGGGAGCAGCAGUAAGAAUAUUGCUC
rnacentral:rRNA from 1 species